rnacentral:rRNA from 1 species
AUUGAACGCUGGCGGCAGGCUUAACACAUGCAAGUCGAGCGGGGAAGGGUAGCUUGCUACCUGACCUAGCGGCGGACGGGUGAGUAAUGCUUAGGAAUCUGCCUAUUAGUGGGGGACAACAUUCCGAAAGGAAUGCUAAUACCGCAUACGCCCUACGGGGGAAAGCAGGGGAUCUUCGGACCUUGCGCUAAUAGAUGAGCCUAAGUCAGAUUAGCUAGUUGGUGGGGUAAAGGCCUACCAAGGCGACGAUCUGUAGCGGGUCUGAGAGGAUGAUCCGCCACACUGGGACUGAGACACGGCCCAGACUCCUACGGGUGGCAG